UCUCUCGUAGCUUAGUGGUCAGAGCAUUGGCACGUAAAGCCAAAGAGCCCGGGUUCGAUUCCCGGCGGGGGUG
rfam:Agrilus planipennis Contig3960, whole genome shotgun sequence.